rnacentral:rRNA from 1 species
UACGAGGGGGGCAAGCGUUGUUCGGAAUUAUUGGGCGUAAAGGGUGCGUAGGCGGUUUGGUAAGUCUGAUGUGAAAUCUAUGGGCUCAACUCAUAGUCUGCAUCGGAAACUGCCGGGCUUGAGUGUGGGAGAGGUGAGUGGAAUUCCUGGUGUAGCGGUGAAAUGCGUAGAUAUCAGGAGGAACACCUGUGGCGAAAGCGGCUCACUGGACCAUAACUGACGCUGAUGCACGAAAGCUAGGGGAGCAAACAGG